UGUUCUUUGUCCAAAAAAGGGUUUAUCCCUUUGAGAUGGAAGGCUAGACAGGCAUAAAUUGUUGCAGUGACCUUUUGGCCCAUGAUAUUACUGAAUUAUGUUGGAGUGGAGGUGGAUUUAAGGAUUUGGUAAAUGGCAAACCCCUCUGACCUUAAUUACUCUAAUGCCUUCUUUAAUCCCAUCAGAGCUAUGCAAAUGAAAUGGACUUCCUGCAUUUAGAAUAAAGAUUGCUCGGUCAGUUUUAAGCUGCAACCAGGGCACAUGAUAUUAAAAAUGUAGCAGGGAGACAUUCAGGCUGCCUGUCAGGCAGCCCUGCAUGGGAGUGACAGGGCGCUGUGCUGUGGACACUCAGGUGGCUGGAUGCAGGACUGGCAGCACCUCGCUGCUUCGUUGCCCCAGCCCAGGGAGCUCACAGGGCUGAUUCACCCCGAGAAGCUGCUGGAGCAGGAACUUGAGCUCUGACUGCUGUAACCUAUUCCCACAUAAAAAUCCAGGGCUAACCUACAAGCUACUAAUGUGAAGAGUGUAUACAUACAUACACAUCUGUACAUACCUGUAUGUGUAUGCAUACAUGUAAGGCUAAGGCUAUGAAGAGCUGAGGGUGUUUGUAGCUACCAAGAAGUCUAAGCAGGAAUAUUAAUAUUGCUCAUCUUAGGAUCUAAAUGCGUCAUCUUAUACAUGUCAUUUUUUUAUCUCUUCCCCUACCAAUACAUAUUCACUCGAAAGUUUAUAUGCAAUUAUUCUGAGGUAUUGGGCCACUGCAAACGUUUCAGUGGAUGCCCAGAGAUUCAUAUGUCCCUCAUUUUUCUUUGAGUACCAUCCAGGAGGUAGAACCCUGCGCUCAGCCAUGCAGGGUGCUGGUGCUGACCCAGCUGUCCAUGUAAACAUGUACUUAACACCCAGCAGGUACCUAAUCCUGCUAACAUCAGGAUCGAUGUCACCAAGGGACAGAUAUGCUUGUGCCAGCAUCAGGAAGGGCUUUGGCCGUCCCCGUGCCCUGACAUUUCUCCUGUGACAAAUGAGAGCGAUGGACCUGUGGGCUCUUGCCAGACACCUGCCCCAUGCUUGGGAUCCUCAGGACAUCAGCCUGAUGUGCAUGUUCUUGUUUUUUAAUGGCACUGCAUCUGUUUUCUUACAGUGAGAGCUGGUGCGUCCCUGAGGUUCACUGUCAGGCAGCCAUGCAUCCCCAUUUUUGGGGCUGGAGAUGAUACUUGAGAUAAUUCAGUGGAAGCUCUGGAAGAAGUGACAAAUCUUGGAUUUGAGGACUGGGACACACGCUGUGGACAUGCUUUUCCUCCAAGGAAGAGGCAGCAGGAGCUCCUGCUGGGAGUUCCAGCACAGGCACAGAUGCACACAGGAUGUCUGCGUGCAUGCUAAGAAGUGGAAAACAGAACCAGUGCUUCACUCACUGUCACUGCCGGUUUUCUUCAUAUCAUGGCAGAGAGAGGUGCAAAGUAAGGUAAGAAAAUGCCAAGAAGUGCCCGUGAACCUGGCCACACAGGGCAGUGCAAGGGCUAUGGGAGUUUCCUGCCUCUGCAGAGCAGCUGCCUGCUGCUGACAGUUCUGCCUGGCACGUCUGUGUCCCCCAGAGAGGAAGCCUGUGUGCAGCUGCAAUGCAAAGCCCGUGGGUUGCAAACGGCCAUGCCCAGCCCAGCCUCAUUGCU